UGCGCGAGUCAUUGGGACUAACUAAACCUAAAGGCGCAAUGAAAGUGAAGAUCCGCUCUCGGGCGGAUCUAGGGACGAUGGGCCGUGUUACGGCAUGGCCCCGCAAUCCCGGGGCGUCUCGUUCUCAUUGCGAGAUGAGGCGCACCUAGAGCGUAUACGCUAGGACCCGAAAGAUGGUGAACUAUGCCUGGUCAGGACGAAGUCAGGGGAAACCCUGAUGGAGGUCCGUAGCGAUUCUGACGUGCAAAUCGAUCGUCGGAACUGGGUAUAGGGGCGAAAGACCAAUCGAACCAUCUAGUAGCUGGUUCCCUCCGAAGUUUCCCUCAGGAUAGCUGGCACUCGUUAAUGCGAGUUUCAUCCGGUAAAGCGAAUGAUUAGAGGCAUUGGGGCCGAAACGGCCUCAACCUAUUCUCAAACUUUAAAUGGGUGAGAUCUCCGGCUUGCUUGACGCCGAAGCCGCGAGAUAGAAUCAGAGUGCCAAGUGGGCCACUUUUGGUAAGCAGAACUGGCGCUGUGGGAUGAACCAAACGCAGAGUUAAAGCGCCUAAAUCGACGCUUAUGGGAUACCAUGAAAGGCGUU
rnacentral:rRNA from 1 species